AGUUGUGAUCAUGGCUCAGAUUGAACGCUGGCGGGAUGCUUUACAUGCAAGUCGAACGGCAGCACACGGACGGGUCUGGUGGCAGUGGCGAACGGGUAGGUAAUGUAUCGGAACGUGCCUAGUAGCGGGGAUAACUACGCCAGCGUAAUAAUACCGCAUACGCCCUUCGGGGGAAAGCGGGGGACCUUCGGGCCUCGCACUAUUAGAGCGGCCGAUAUCGGAUUGCUGGAUGGGGUGGGAUAACGGCUCACCAAGGCGACGAUCCGUAGCUGGUUUGAAAGGACGACCAGCCACACUGGGACGAGACACGGCCCAGACUCCUGCAGGAGGCAGCGGUGAAAUUUUGGACAAUGGAAACCUGAUCAGCCAUCACGUGUGCGAUGAAGGCCUUCGAAUUUGUAAAACGCUUUUGGCGGGAAAGAAACGGCACGGGACUGUACCCCGUGCAACUGACGGUACUGGGAAUCAGCGCAGCCGCUACGUGCUGGCAACGGCGCGGUAAUACGUGGGGUGCAAGCGUUAAUCGGAAUUACUGGGCGUAAAAAAGCGAUGCGCAAAGCGGUUCGGAAAGAAAGAUGUGAAAUCCCAAAACAACUUUGAACUGCAUUUUUAACUACAAAGCGGUACAUGGAAGGGAGGUGGAAUUCCGCGUGUAGCAGUGAAAUGCAUGAAUGGGAAGGUACCGAUGUGAGCAACUCUGGGAUAACACCAAACGCUCCUUGCAUGAUAGAGGGAGCAAACAGGAUUAGAUACCCUGGUAGUCACGCCUAAACAGUGUCAACUAGCUGUUGGGGCCUUCGGGCCUUGGUAGCUGUACGCGUGAAGUUGACCGCCUGGGAAGUACAGUCGCCAGAUUAAAACUCCAAAGAGAAUUGACGGGGACCACGCCACAAGCGUUGGAUGGUGUGAUUAAUUGAUGCAACACUGGCCGCCCACCUGCCACUUGACGCUGUCUGGAAUCCCGAAGAUGCGGGUGCUCGCAAGAGAACCGGAACACAGGUGCUGCAUGGCUGUCGUCAGCUCGUGUCGUGAGAUCGUUGGGUUGAGUCGCAACGAGGCGUAACAGCCCUUAUCGCUGGUUGCUGCGAAAGGGCGCCACAAUGAGACUGCCGGUGACAAACCGGAGGAGGUGAGAUGACGUCGCGGUCACUCAUGGCCCUUAUGGGUAGGGCUUCACACGUCAUACAAUGGUCAGGACAGAGGGUCGCCAACCCGCGAGGAGGCCAAUCCCAGAAACCCGAUCAUGGUCGGAUCGCAGUCUGCAACUCGACUACGUGAAGUCAGAUCCUUCGGCCGUCGCGGAUCAGCAUGUCGCGGUGAAUGCGUUCCCGGGGUCUUGUACACGCCCGUCACACCAUGG
rnacentral:rRNA from 1 species